AACGAACGCUGGCGGCGCGUCUUAAACAUGCAAGUCGAACGGCAGGAAGGGGCUUGCCCCUUCUGAGAGUGGCGGACUGGUGAGUAACACGUGGGUGACAUACCUUUUAGUUGGGGAUAGCUAUUAGCAAUAGUAGGUAAUACCGAAUGUGACCGUACCUGUUAGAGGGGUACGAGGAAAGGAGCUAAGGCUUCGCUAAACGAAUGGCUCGCGGCCCAUUAUGCUCGUUGGUGAGGUAACGGCCCACCAAGGCGAUGAUGGGUAGCCGGCCUGAGAGGGUGAACGGACACAUUGGGACUGAGAUACGGCCCAGACUUCUACGGGAGGCAGCAGUUAAGAAUAUUCCGCAAUGGACGAAAGUCUGACGGAGCGACGCCGCGUGGAUGAAGAAUGCCGAAAGGUUGUAAAAUCCUUUUAAGCCUGAUGAAUAAGCACAGUAGGGAAUGAUUGUGCGGUGACCGUAGGGCUUGAAUAAGCACCGGCUAAUUACGUG
rnacentral:rRNA from 1 species